UACGUAGGGUGCAAGCGUUGUCCGGAAUUAUUGGGCGUAAAGAGCUCGUAGGCGGUCUGUCGCGUCGGAUGUGAAAACCCAGGGCUCAACCCUGGGCCUGCAUUCGAUACGGGCAGACUAGAGUUCGGUAGGGGAGACUGGGAUUCCUGGUGUAGCGGUGAAAUGCGCAGAUAUCAGGAGGAACACCGGUGGCGAAGGCGGGUCUCUGGGCCGAAACUGACGCUGAGGAGCGAAAGCGUGGGGAGCGAACAGG
rnacentral:rRNA from 1 species